CCAUCUUUUUUCUAAGCCCAUUUUAAGUACUGAAAAACUGCUGUGAGGUGUCCCCGGAGCCUUCUCAUCUGCAGGCUGAACAUCCCCAGUUCUUGGUCUUUCUUCACAGGAGAGGUGCUCCAGCCCUCUGAUCAGCUCUAUGGCCCUCCUCUGGACUCGCUGCAACUGAUCAAUG